UCUCCGUUGGUGAACCAGCGGAGGGAUCAUUACAGGACUCGCAAUACUCCUACAACUCUGUGAACUUAACUAUAAGUACGUUGCUUCAGCGGGUGUCUCGGAGGGAGAUCUCCCUCCCCGCAACCCUUAACCCGCCAGCAGCUUACUAUACUCUGUCUCGUUUAGUCAGCAUCUCGUGUACAUUCAAACAACGUAAAACUUUCAACAACCGUCCUCUUGGUUCUCGCAUGGAUGAAAAACCCAGCAGAUCGACACAGCACACGGCUGAACUCCAGUCAC
rnacentral:misc_RNA from 1 species